GGGGUUGUGGCUCAGCGGUAGAGUGUUCACUUAGCAUAUGUGCGGCCCUGGGUUCGAUCCUCAGCACCACA
rnacentral:tRNA from 1 species